rnacentral:misc_RNA from 1 species
CGAUGUCGAAGGAUAACGAACCAGCAAAGCUCCUAUUACCUUACCUUCAACGCGCUGAUGAGUUGCAGAAACAUGAACCUCUCGUUGCCUACUACUGUCGAUUGUAUGCUAUGGAGCGAGGAUUGAGGAUUCCUCAAAAUGAGCGUACAAAAACCACUAGUUCCAUCCUUGUUUCGCUUAUAAAUCAACUUGAAAAGGAUAAGAAG